UCAUCAUAUUCUUCCUCUUCUUCCUUUUCUUCUUCCUUUCCUUUUUCUUCUUGUCUUUCUUUCUCCAAUACCAGCUCGCUUUUCUCUUUGGAAAGAGUGAAAGAAGGGGUAGGAGAAGGAGCAAACGAAGGAGAAGA
rnacentral:ribozyme from 13 species